rnacentral:lncRNA from 1 species
CCAGCUUUAAAAUUCUAGGAGGUAAAGACCUCUUUCUUUAAAAAGCAAGCUUUUUAUCUAGAUUGAACCCAAAUGAUUUGACUACUGGACUUUGAAUUGAGCAACACGAAAGUGUUACUCAAGAGUCAAGUUACACAUUUUCUAUUUCUCAUUAAUAAAUAAAACAUAUUAAAAUACAAAAUUUAACAAGAUCCGGCUAAACUUCAUUAAAUAUUGCUUACGGGGAAGAAGAUUUCCCACCCUCCCAACCAGGGAAAGCAGAAGCCAAAUUCCUAAAAUGCCAGAGCUAAGAGGGACAGCAGAGGUCUUCAGCUAACGCAGUCACUUGACAGAUAAAGAAACUGAGUCACUGAGAGGCCCCCAUGCUCGCAAAAGGGUGCUCAAGUUCCAGCUGGUUGGCGAAAAUGGCAAGAGCAAGAGUAACUGGCAAAGAACAGUAUUUUAGGCCCACUGGUCUUGUUUUUCACUUCAAAUGAGCAGAAUGAAAGUUUAUGAGGGGACAGACUUGACUAAGUCAAGAUAUCUUGGAUUCGUGUUCCAAAUUAGAGUGCCAAAUUUAAGAGGGAAAAAAAGUUAAUAGAGGAUUAAAACUCUAAUCUCCUUUUGGCAGUUUCCUCAUAAAAUCCAAAUUUAAGGAAAAACAAGUAAGUAAAUAAAAAAUCCUACCCAAUGUAAAGUACAGUUAUGUGUGGAUAUACUUCUUCUAUAUGACCUCAGAAAACAGGAACUUUAACUAACUAAAGCAAUAGCCACCCUGAAUGGCUCCUGCCCAGCUCUGAAUCUCCAGGUGCACUCUAUAUCUGACAGGGAACACCCUUUGGGAGAUCUAACCAUCAUCUCCUGUCACUGCACAGUUCCCCCAAAUUGCCAUUAUUCCUGAACAUCAUUUUUGUUCUUGUGCAUAUGGAGUUAUUUUACCACAGAAGAGGCAUAGUGCACUAAAUUUGCAAAUCCAAAUGCAUAAUCUAGGGGAAUAUUUUCUACUACAAAAUGUAUAGUGCUGUACAUUUGGUGACAGGGAGGGACACCUAACACUGUCAGCAGGACAUUUUAUCAACCUUUGCUGCCUCCAGAAAGUGGAUCAUUAUAUACUUUUUAAAUAUGUGAAAAUCAUAAUUGAUGGAAUAAAUAUCUCUCUCUCCCUCUCCUUCUCUCUCUCCCUCUCUCUCUCUCCUCCCCUCCCUUUCUCCUCUCUCUCCUUUCCCCUUGAAAAGUGAGAUCAUAUUAACAGCAAUGCAAGAGCUUCG